AGGUGACCCCUGUGAAAGGGUUGUUUGACCCCCAAAGGGGUCGCGACCCACAGGUUGAGAACCGCUGCCUUAGAGCUUCCCCAGGGUGUCCAGUGCACAGAUCUAACAACGGAGGCCCAGAAGAGGCCAGGCUACAGCAAGGCAUGCUGGAGGACGUGGCCCAUGCCAGUUUCAAAUCAGACUGUCUGUUUGCCCCCAUACAUGCUGUAAGCAGGCACCAGCUUGGCCCAGAGCCCACACCCUCUAAACCGUGGCUGAUUGACCCAUUCAUGCCCUGGCAGACGAGACUCACCAUCUUGCUGAAGUGGUAUUUGCAGUAGCCGCAGUACUUGACAUUGUCAACCUCCAGCACCUCUUCCUCACACAGCAGGCCUGCCAUUUGGGCGCUAACCGAGAGAGGUCAGCCUGAGAAGGGUGUGGCCACAAACCAGACCAGCCUCUGACCGUCUACCCUCCUGGACCCCCACUGGGGCAAAGCCAAGUCCAUCCAAGGGAAGCACUGCCAUGAUCACCAAAGAGACAGCAGCUAGGACCAGCCCAUUGGGUGGCCAUCCAUGGCAAACCUCGGAGGGGGUUGCUACAGCUGGCUGGGGAUCCCAGAGAACCCCGGAGUGGGAGGCGAGGGGCAGGGAGGGGUCUCACCAGGUGACAUGGAAAGCUUG